GCUGAUCAGCUGCACUUGUACAAGGUAGCUGGUUCACGGGACAGCGGGGCGGGGUAUUCAAAUACCCAAGACCUGAUGACUGUCCGAGAGGGUAGUCGGUGUGUUGUUGGGUUGCUUUAUGCAUAAACCAGUUUGUUCUUUUGGGAAUUGAUAGUACGCGUGGAUUUAGAGGAACUAGAGUUCACCGCGUUAUUAUGUUAUUGUGUCUAAACUUGGAUCCACGAACAGCCGGCCCGUUUACACCCGGAGGGGACCCGGGAGUACCCGUCAAACAUCGCAAUUGAUCCACCGGUGGGUCGGACACUGUUCAUGUUUAUAGGUAUUAGAGCACACUACUGCCUGAACGAAGAAGAGAGAACCGCAGGAGCUGGCCCAGGUACUGGGGGGACUGAACGCUUUGGUUGAAGAUGAAUAUACUAGGCCUAUUAUGGUUGGUGGGAUAUGCUGCCAUUUUCAAAGGUUUUGCUUACCCAACUGUAUAUGGAGAGGUUGGAGGGGAGGUGUUAUUUCUAUGCCCAUGUGACAAGGAGCGGCCUGUCAACAUUUUUUACUUUCAAGGUGGCCAUGGCCCUGACAAGGUUUAUAUUAAUGGAUGGCAUGCUAAGAAUCCAACCAAACCCAACCCAGACCUGUUCACCAGUGUGAACAGGACAGAGAGGACCGUAACCAUGUGGAAUCUGACAGCUGGAAAUGAAGGGUUCUAUCAGUUUUUCAUCGACUAUUCCGAUGAAGAAACUAAGGAAUAUAUCAUUUUCCUCAACGUCUCAGAAAAAACUACCACCACCAGAUCAGGCGAACAACAGCCCAUCCACAGCUCUGAAGCUGAACAAAGUCAUCGCCAUCGUUGGUACUUCCUUGCUGCUGGUUGCCUGUUUGUAUUAUUAUUAUUUGUUUGUAUUGUUAUUAUCAUACUACAUGUUGUGGCAACCCAUCGACAGCACAGCGCCCCUGGAGCAAGCCCCUCAGGUGCCUCAGGUGGAGCACCUGAGGAGCCGUAAAAAGGGGCACCUGAGGAGCACACUCAUUCAAGGCUCUCCUCUUGUUUUUGUUUGCGGAGAGACCAGUCUCCGUGGGUGACGUGAUUCCAGCGGGAGGAACAAGACUGUCGAUUCCUCAAAAGACGUUUUUGUUCGGUUUAAUAGUAAUAUACUUUAUGCUUGAAUAAAAGUGCCAUUUUGGCUUAAAGUAAGCUCCGGUUCGUGUUCUGAUUGGAAGGAGGCGGUUCACUCACCAAUCAGGGUUGCCACAAUGUAAGGAAUAAAAAACUGAAAUGAUUUAAAAUAGCAGAAUAGAUCAUUGAUGAAUGCUAAAGAUUAGUUAAUUUUUUGGGAUUUCUGGCUUCGCGUUGCCAAGUUUUCCUUGUAAUGUUUUGCUGAAAUUAUUUAGCUUAGUAUAUUUCCCAUGAUUGACUGAUGCACAGAAGCCGAUAGACAACUAAAUACAUAUUCAUGUUGCCAAAAAAUAAAUAAAAAAAAGCCAUCAGGUAUUUUGUACGAACUACCCAGGUAGAUCAACUCUGUUUUUAUGUAUAUAUAUUCAUUUUCGUUUUACUAAUUCUUUCUUCACACUCUUUUUCGGCAUGACAUAAAAUAAGCUUUCCAGAUGCAUAUUUUCAUUGAUAAUCAAGUAUAGCUUGCCCGCGAAUACCCGGAGCAAUGUAACAGCCCAAAUUGCUUGCAUGUAAAUGGCUAGGGGCAGUGUGAACUCUUCCAAAUAAUUUUUUUUUAACCACUCUGCAGUAGCAUGACUAGUGUCCCUACACAUAAAACGAAGCAUCAACAACUUUGUUAGCGUAGGCCUACCGGGAGUUUAUUAAAAAAUACUGUUUUCCUGUGCCUUACCGGGUAGGUCCAUGUUUCCAGGAAGUCCACACAAGUCGAUUACCGGCUACCGUAAAUAAUAUAGAGGGACCAACAAAUUUCAAACAGCGUGUGUGUGUCAAGGGGGGAGAUUGUACAUUUUUUGGCGACUCUAUUAUAUUCUAAUUUUUCGCCGGAAUUACACUUUAAGUAGUGAUGGGUUGUUCGAUCGCGAACAAAUCGGUUCGAAUGAACGAAUCUUUAACAAGAACGAACCAAACUGAUACUUCUCUCUCGUUCGUGGAUGGUGCGUUUUAUUAUCCAUCCAUCUCGGAAUUCUGAGGACGUUGCGAACCUGCCUGCUCAGUGGAACUGAGAGGAGAUCGA